AGUGAACGCUGGCGGCGUGCCUAAUACAUGCAAGUCGAACGGAGAUUAAGUAGCUUGCUAUUUAAUCUUAGUGGCGCACGGGUGAGUAAUAUAUAGCUAACUUGCCCAUUACUAAGGGACAACAGUUGGAAACGACUGCUAAUACCUUAUACUCCGUAUCUAUAUAAGUAGAUACGGGAAAGUUUUUCGGUAAUGGAUAGGGCUAUAUCGUAUCAGCUAGUUGGUAAGGUAAUGGCGAACCAAGGCUAUGACGCGUAACUGGUCUGAGAGGAGGAUCAGUCACACUGGAACUGAGACACAGUCCAGACUCCGACGGGAGGCAGCAGUAGGGAAUAUGACUCAAUGGGGGAAACCCUGAAGCAGCAACGCCGCGUGGAAGAUGACACUUGUCGGAGCGUAAACUCCUUUUCUUGGGAAAGAAUUAUGACGGUACCCAAGUAAUAAGCACCGGCUAACUCCGUG
rnacentral:rRNA from 1 species